GAUGAACGCUGGCGGCGUGCCUAAUACAUGCAAGUCGAGCGAACGGACGAGAAGCUUUCUUCUCUGAUGUUAGCGGCGGACGGGUGAGUAACACGUGGAUAACCUACCUAUAAGACUGGGAUAACUUCGGGAAACCGGAGCUAAUACCGGAUAAUAUUUUGAACCGCAUGGUUCAAAAGUGAAAGACGGUCUUGCUGUCACUUAUAGAUGGAUCCGCGCUGCAUUAGCUAGUUGGUAAGGUAACGGCUUACCAAGGCAACGAUGCAUAGCCGACCUGAGAGGGUGAUCGGCCACACUGGCACUGAGACACGGUCCAGACUCCUACGGGAGGCAGCAGUAGGGAAUCUUACGCAAUGCGCGAAAGCCUGACGGAGCAACGCCGCGUGAGUGAUGAAGGUCUUCGGAUCGUAAAACUCUGUUAUUAGGGAAGAACAUAUGUGUAAGUAACUGUGCACAUCUUGACGGUACCUAAUCAGAAAGCCACGGCUAACUACGUG
rnacentral:rRNA from 1 species